GCCCCGACCGACCUGCGCCCAACGCGGCGCCGCCCCCAAACCACCGCAAAAUUAGGCGCCGCCGGCAUGGGGGACCUCCAUGGCGCACCACAUCGCGCGCCAGAUGGUGGGAUCGGACCCAAAUCUAGCUUACCGAGGACCGCUUGCAGAACGGACGCGGCCAUCUUUGUCAGCUCCAAGCGCCGCCGGGGGGCUUCCGCCGCGGGCUGGAUCUUCGACUUGGUUCGCAAAUCCCCCGGUGGUGUUUCCUGAAGCUCGAUCGAGCAGAUCCCAUCAACAAUCUUCGGAUCAUGGGACUGAAGGGGAAGGGAGCUAUGUCCAAGGCAAUUUUUCCGUUUAUGGUGGUGAGGAUUCAGAUGCGUUGUUGUUUGCUGAAGAUGCAAUCGAAGAUGAUUCAGAUGAUGGAGAUGUUUCAUCACAGCCACUGCCACCCUAUGUUGACAUGGUAUUUGACACACUUGAGGAUGCUCAGAAAUUCUACAAUGACUAUGCCUUCAAGUUGGGGUUCGGGACACAUAUAUCUUCCUCAAAAUUCAGCCAGAAGAGAGGCCAGAAGAAAGAGGAUCAAAUAUUGAUCAAGAGGUUCUUUGGGUGUGUGCAUGCCAGAAAGCCCGAGAAAACGGAAACGAGUAGCACAUCAGAGAGCAUUGCAACAGGAAAAAGUAACUCCAGUAGGCAGCCUAGUGAAGGAAUGGAUGUGACAAGAAAACAUCAAAAGAACAGGCUGCUCCGCCAUGAUUGUAAGGCGCACAUGAUUGUUGGGCUGAGAGAGGAGAGAUGGACAGUGACUUGUUUUGUUGCGGAGCAUACACAUCCAUUGCUGGAACAGCCAGAGUGUGUUAGGUACUAUCGGUCGCACCGCAGUAUACCUGCCGAGGAUUACUAGCUCUUGUUGACGUUGCAUGAUGUGAACCUAUCAAAUUCAGAUUGCAUGGGUGUCCUCGGCAGGGUCCAUGGAGGUGACACGAGGAUACUCCCAUAUGUGAAGAGAGAUGUUUCGAAUGAACGUGCAAAGCUCCGGAGAGGGCUAACAUUCCGAGACAUGGAUAUGACAGUCGAGUACUUUGAGAGGAGGAAAGAUGAGAAUCCAGAGUUUUUCUAUGCGAAACAAAAGGAUCCUGCAACAAACUCCGUGACUGCCUUGUUUUGGGUUGAUGGGAGAACAAGGGCGCUCUACCCGAAAUAUAAAGAUUGUGUGUUCUUCGAUACAACCUUCUGCACCAAUAGAUACAAUAUGCCAUUUUCUCCUAUAGUUGGGGUCAACAACCAUCUCCAGACCAUUGCACUCGGGUGUGCCUUGUUGCCGGAUGAAAGUAUUGAAACAUUUAAGUGAGUCUUCCAUCAGUGGAUGGUUGCAAUGGAUAACGAUCAUCCCACAAACAUCAUGACCGACCAGGACAAAGCGAUGGCAACAACUAUUGAUGAUGUGUUGCCAAACACCUGCCAUAGGUGUUGCAAGUUUCAUGUGUUUAGCAAUGCACGUACCAAGUGGGGGAGGCUGUUGAGAAGAGAUGAAUCGUUUGCAGAUGUGUUCUACACUUGUAUCAAUCAAUCAGAAACCAUUGAGGAGUUUGAGGAAACAUGGCAACACAUGUUGCAUUGUUUUGAAGUGGCCGAGAACAAACACCUGAAGAACAUGUGGCGAACAAGGCACAUGUGGGCUCGAGCGUACUUCAAGAACAAAUUCUUCCCAUUCACAAGCACAACGGGCAGGUCUGAGGAGAUUAACUCAUAUUUCAAGACACUGAUUCGUCCGGCUGAUUCCGUUUGGAGGUUUGUCCAGCAAUACGAAAUGUGCCAAGAAACUAUGCUUGAUCGUGAAGACAAUGCUGGAUUCACUGGUGAAACAACAACUCCGCCACUAUACUCUCGGUACAACAUUGAGCGCCAAGCUGCUGCUUACUACACUCGUAGCGUCUUUGGCAAGUUCCAGAAGCAGGUGAUCGCAUCUACCGGCUUCGUUAUCAACCAAGACGCUGAGUAUUAAGGGCAAGGCCUGCUGUUUGAGCUAAAGGCAAGCUCCUAUGAGAACCAAAAACUCUAUUCUGUGCAUGUUAUGAUGGAUGAGGGGUUGUUUGAAUGUAGUUGCCACUACUUUGAGAUGAAUGGCCUGAUUUGCGCACAUAUAAUAAGGGCAAUGGUGCAUCUGAAUGUUCAAGAAAUUCCGCAACAAUACUUGUUGGAGAGGUGGUCUGAAGCAGCCACAACAAGCAUGGGCAGGACUGGCCGAUUGCUGGACUUCGGGCACCCCUCAACAAACACAUUGAAAUACAACUCCUUGUGUCGAAGGUUGACAUGGCUCGCCUCUAAUGCAUGUUGCAACGAUGAUGCCUACAAGAUAUUAGAUGAAGCAAUAACAGUUCUUGAGCCUGCCAUAGCAGCGGCAAACAGAGGAGCGCUGUCAGGGCAACAAGCAACGCAACAGAGUGAACCCCCAACACCACCUGCUGCCGCAACAGGAACAUAGAAUGACAACCUACCACAGGCUCAAAGCUCAGAGAUGCUAUAAAACCCAGCUCGUGUCCCUAAGAAAGGUCGGCCAACUGAAAGAGAGAAGAGAAAGAAAACACUGGUAGAGCAGCGAGACGAUGAGAAAAAAAAGAAGGCGAAGCAACAAGAGAAGAAGCCGACGGCAACAGUAAAGCCAAGAGCUGGAAAAAGGAUUGUCUGCUGCAAGUACUGCCAUGAAGAAGGACAUAAUAUUCAGACAUGUGGGGCGCUAAAAGCUGCAACGGAGGCGGCGGCAGCACCCCCUAAAUGCCAGUUCUGCUCUGAGGUUGGACAUGCAGUCCCAGCUUGUUAAUACAUGAGAGCCGUGAUGGCAAGUGACCGAAAUAUUUCCCAAGCAACGCAGCUGAAGCUCUAGAAAGAAAAGAUGAGAGAAACAGGGAGGAAGAUCCUCCUAAGAAAAAAAUGUUUUUCAUUUGGGAGAAGAUACC